rnacentral:misc_RNA from 1 species
CUGGAAAUGUAUUCGAGGUUGAAGCUGGCUCUUUCGGGAGUAUUGUGCUCACCUUGAUUCCAAUCCAUCUACACCUGUGCACAUAUUGUAGCUUUUGGGAUGGGGUAAAACUUGUCCUGAAUUCUACGUAUUUUUUACAUAUACUCUAUUAUAUGUUUAGAAUGUUAUUAUUUGCAAUAAAAACGCAUUUAAAAA